ACAGAAUUCCGUUUCACCAGUGUGUUAGGUUGGGUUGAGUUCAGAUGUGUCGAUCAGUAGACUUGCAUUGUUCCCUCCUCUGGUGUUAUAGUGGGCAGGAGUGUGUCACUCACAAGUGAACACAAUGUAGAGCCCCUUAAAAACACUGCUCCACAGCGCUGCUAGUGGUCAGACAUCCUACAGGCCUCCUUUAAUCACUGACUCACAGUUAAACAAUGUCAUCUUUGUUGUGCAUAGUGAAAAUGGACGGCAAAAAAACCAUUGAGCUGACUGUUUUGCUUCUUUGAUUGACUAACAACUUGUACGAGAACAUCUCUGAUAGGUGCCGUUCGACCCGACUGCACCUGAGAUACAGCCACUGAUGCUAAAUGAAGGGCACAAAGAGACGUCAUCACCUUGUCCUCCAAACUUAAUGAAGAAUCAUCGUACCCCUCCCAUUUGGAUGCAGCUAAUAGGACUAACAAAUACAACCCUCUUUCUGUGCAUCUGACUGCUCGGUUCCCUCGUCUCUGAAGUCGGUGUCUGUGCUUCGUCUGUCUUCUCCGUCUGACUGCACACGCUCGUCUGUGUCUUGUUGACUCCAGAAGUCAGAGCAUGACUUACAGGCAGUUUCAGCUGACACAGUGUGUCACAGGUGUCCCAGGCGCUGCCGUGGUCAUUUUGAGUGACAGGGAUCUCGUCCCACCAUCCGAAUGUCUCACAUGGGUUGUUUUCUUCAGCUCUGUCCUGUUCUUCUUCUCUUGGAGCAUCUACAAGCACAAACACGUGUAGGGUAAUUUUUAUACUUUUAAUAUUUAUAAUGAUUUUUAUGCCUUGAAUAAUUGUUGUCUGUUACAUUGUGCAAAUAAAAUCUUUUUUUCUCACCAUUCUUGAGAUGGUGUCUGCUGCUGCAAACCCUGAAGAGAAUACAAGAUGUUGAAUGUUGGCCUCAACAGGUGGAUCGGUGGCCUCAACGCUGGCCUCAACAGGCUGCGGGGUAGAGUGGUCGUCCUCCAACCUGGAGGUUGAUCAAUCCCUAGUCUGACCCAUCUGCAUGCCAACGUGUCCUUUGGCAAGCAGCAUCUGUCGUCCGACGUCCUCUCUCCAUCCUUUCUCAUCCUGAAGCUCGUUUGCUUCCAGAGGCUCAUCCCGGCGUCGUGGACGUGCUCGGAAUCGAUUCUCUGAUUAAUACAGGAGACAAACACAAUUAAAAAUUGAUUUGUGGCUCAUUAUUGACCAAUGUGAAUAAUUAACCGAGGUCUCUAUGGCCAUGCACGCAGGGACUAUGUUCUGGUGUAUGGUUGGUGUGUGUGUGUGUGUGUGUGUGUGUGAGAUUUUACUGCUAAUUCACGUAUUGUGGAGACCAUAUGCUGCAAUUGGUGGUAUUAAGGCUGCACACACAAACACAAAAACACACACAAACACAGGCUUAUAGUUCUAUCUUAAGCUGUUUUCAGACAUGACCUCCAGGUAAAAUCAAAUGCCUUUCACACAUGCACAACACAGCGGGAGGGUGUCUGCACAGAUGCGUCCACAACAGCAUCAAAUCCGAGAGGUCGAGCAGGGUGAUAAACUGUCUGCUGUAACCCUGAGCCUAACAUAAACCUAGCCCCAUACCUAAUGGUAACCCUAAACCUGAAACAAGUCCUAACCUGACCAGUAUGUCCUCACUUUCCCAAACUGUCAAACAUGGUCCUCUCAAAGAUAUAAGAAUAUAUAAUACAAACAUGCAGAGAGAUCAGCUGCUAUAAAUCAUCUGUGUUAAAUUUACUCUGCUGGUGUGUUUGUGUGUGUGUGUGUGUGUGUGUGUGUGUGUGUGUGUGUGUGUGUGUGUGUGUGUGUGUGUGUGUGUGUGUGUGUGUGUGUGUGUGUGUGUGUGUGUGUGUGUGUGUGUGUGUGUGUGUGUGUGUGUGUGUGUGUGUGUGUGUGUGUGUGUGUGUGAGAUUUUACUGCUAAUUCACGUAUUGUGGAGACCAUAUGCUGCAAUUGGUGGUAUUAAGGCUGCACACACAAACACAAAAACACACACAAACACAGGCUUAUAGUUCUAUCUUAAGCUGUUUUCAGACAUGACCUCCAGGUAAAAUCAAAUGCCUUUCACACAUGCACAACACAGCGGGAGGGUGUCUGCACAGAUGCGUCCACAACAGCAUCAAAUCCGAGAGGUCGAGCAGGGUGAUAAACUGUCUGCUGUAACCCUGAGCCUAACAUAAACCUAGCCCCAUACCUAAUGGUAACCCUAAACCUGAAACAAGUCCUAACCUGACCAGUAUGUCCUCACUUUCCCAAACUGUCAAACAUGGUCCUCUCAAAGAUAUAAGAAUAUAUAAUACAAACAUGCAGAGAGAUCAGCUGCUAUAAAUCAUCUGUGUUAAAUUUACUCUGCUGGUGUGUUUGUGUGUGUGUGUGUGUGUGUGUGUGUGUGUGUGUGUGUGUGUGUGUGUGUGUGUGUGUGUGUGUGUGUGUGUGUGUGUGUGUGUGUGUGUGUGUGUGUGUGUGUGUGUGUGUGUGUGUGUGUGUGUGUGUGUGUGUGUGUGUGUGUGUGUGUGUGUGUGUGUACGUGUGUGUACGUGUGUGUACGUGUGUGUGUGUACGUGUACGUGUACGUGUAUGUGUGUGUGUGUGUGCGCUCAUAUAUAAACUGUGAAUGUCUUAAGUUUUAAUGGGUGUUAAUGAGUGUUUGUGUUUCAGUGACAUUAUGAGAGCUGAGAACAUUGACUCUAUCCCUGUGUGACUUUAGGACAAAGUUCAGUAAUCAAACUUAUCAAAGUUGUUAGAAACUAAGUGUUGGUUUCACACCACGGUCACGAGAUCUUAUAUAACAGGGUUUAUUUAACACAGAGGCGUUUUACAGGGCCGCUGUACGCGUGUGUUGACAGGCGGAUUUUUUUCAGGACAAAUCCAUUUAGUCAUUACAGACAAUGCUUUACCUCUCAGAGCUCAUCGGUCUCAUUUAGAUGAAUUCUGACAAUUUGCUCCUGGAGAGGGGAGAAGAAAAAAAAUCACACCGACAACAAAAUAUGGGGAUGUCAGAAUUUUUGACGACACUUUUGCCUGUGCCUUUUUAGACAAAUUUAGGAAGAUGAAACAUGUUUGUUUUGUAAUACGGAAUACAGCAUUGAACUGCUGCAGCUGAUACGCAUGUUUAGGAAUCUCAGAAAGUCUGGAGGUUAACAGGUUGAGAUGAUGCAUAUUCUUACUGUCAGGGAACCGACUACUUUAUAGUUGACCUGAGACGUCUGGAGGCCUUUAUGCUAAGGACAACUGAUUACCUCAUCAAGUUAACUGGAGACACCAUGAACUGUAAACACUCCUGCUGCCUUCUAUUUCCUAUUCAUUUACAUAUUCCACUAUGCACAAUACUCUUUUUUUGCACUUCUAGUUAGAUGCUAAACUGCAUUUCAUUGUAUAUGUACUUGUACUGUGCAA